UACGUAGGGUGCGAGCGUUGUCCGGAAUUAUUGGGCGGAAAGAGCUUGUAGGCGGUCUGUCGCGUCUGCUGUGAAAAUCCGGGGCUCAACCCCGGACUUGCAGUGGGUACGGGCAGACUAGAGUGUGGUAGGGGAGACUGGAAUUCCUGGUGUAGCGGUGAAAUGCGUAGAUAUCAGGAGGAACACCGAUGGCGAAGGCAGCUGCCUGGCCUGACACUGACGCUGAGGUGCGAAAGCGUGGGGAGCGAUCCGG
rnacentral:rRNA from 1 species